CAGAAUAUAAACAAAAAAUCGACAAUUCAACUGCCAGGAAAAAAUAUUGCAGAAAGUUGCUCGAACAAAAUUCACAAUGGAAAUAAAACAUCUCACUGUACAGCCGAUUGAGUGUGAUGAACCCGGUUAUUCUGUACACAUCCAUAAACUGAAGCGCUAAAAAAGUAGUUCGAGGAAUUUAAGGAAUCAUAAAUGUUUCAACAAAAGCGUUGGAAUAUCAGAAACAAAAGUAUCAUCUUGCAAAACGCUGUAAAAAUGUGGAAAUUUGUGUUUUAUAGAUUAAACCAAAUAAGUGUUAAAGGGAUUUCCCAGUUCCAGUCAUUAUUUUUAGUUCUACAGUAUCUUGGUGACAAUUACAAGAUUGUAAUACCGUAUUUCCUGAAAUAAAUCCAGGUCGAUCGUUACCAAAAUUUUGAGCCGGCACAGUGAUCAACGAAUCCAACAUACGUCAAUGGUAGAACAAUCCAUCUGACAAUAUAACCUUACCAAUGUAUCGAAUGAAUUUGGAAGGAUGCUUAACGGUGAUGAGAACAACUUUAAAUCUUGUCCGAACUAAUAAAAGUAAUUGUUUGAA